GACGAACGCUGGCGGCGUGCUUAACACAUGCAAGUCGAACGGAAAGGCCCGGCUUUUGUGGGGUGCUCGAGUGGCGAACGGGUGAGUAACCCGUGAGUAACCUGCCCUUGCCUUUGGGAUAACUUCAGGCAACUGGGGCUAAUACCGCCUAGGAGCUCCUGCUGCAUGGUGGGGGCUGGAAAGUUUCGGCGGUUGGGGGUGGACUCGCGGCUUAUCAGCUUGUUGGUGGGGUAGUGGCUUACCAAGGCUUUGACGGGUAGCCGGCCUGAGAGGGUGACCGGCCACAUUGGGACUGAGAUACGGCCCAGACUCCUACGGGAGGCAGCAGUGGGGAAUAUUGCACAAUGGGCGGAAGCCUGAUGCAGCAACGCCGCGUGCGGGAUGACGGCCUGCGGGUUGUAAACCGCUUUCGCCUGUGACGAAGCGUGAGUGACGGUAAUGGGUAAAGAAGCACCGGCUAACUACGUG
rnacentral:rRNA from 1 species